GCCAAUAGUUCCAAACACUGAUAGUUCCAGCACUGAAGACCAUUAAUAUUAGGAGCUUCCGAAGUACGCUCGCUAGAUGGAUUAUCAGUGGAGAGUGGAGUGAUAACCAGGCUGGGGGAGCUUGCCAUUCCUGUAAGCAGUGGAGUGAUGAUGAAGCUGGUUGGUGGCACUAUUUGAACAGUGGAGUGCUGAAGCUGAUGCGGUGAUAAAGCUAUCAUGGCAUGAAGGAAGCCUGCUGUCCAAGAGCCCACUCUCUCUCUCCAGCAUAUCCAUGGCAUUUGGAUCCAUGAAGGAGGCAUCGGUCGUAGUUCGGAAUAGCUCCUCGAUUUGUUGGACUAAAUCGAAGGCUUCUUUUGAAGGCUGACAGAGUAGACCGGGCUUAAACUCCUUCAGCUUGAGUAAAACACUAUGCUUUACUUCAGGACUGUCAUCACUGUGCUAAAUUGCAUUUUGACAAUCACCAUGAACUGCCUGAACUGCCACCUUAACGUGGUGGAGAGGUUUGAGUACCCGAGUGAC